GGUCUGGGGCUCUCUUCCCAGAGAGCUCGUAGGGGAGGACAGUCAAGGGACUCAAGCGUCUCUCUUGACUCCCCUUCUCUCGCUGUGCAGUGGCGGCGCCGAGGGGUCGACGCUCAGGGCUAAUCUCUAUGAGUCACCCUCGAGGCCCCGGGUAAUAUUGGGUGGAUCACAAGAACUAAUCUUUCAUGAUUUGGAAACCGGAAGGAAAGAAGCACUUUUGUAGCUGACUUACCUCAAUGACAUGACCAGUGUCUGAGCCUACAACUGCGCUAUCUUCCCUGGAUUUUUCUUCACCUUUUCCUUACUCAUGAGCCAGGACCCAUGUGGGCAGAGAGGAGAGUUCUCACCUGGAGUUCAGCAUGGUGGACUUGGGCUGCAGCCGUGGCCACCUGGUCCUCCAGAUCCGCCAGAUGGGUCUCAUCAGUGCCACUGUGGAUGCAGCGGGCGGCAUCUUCUAGCUCAGUCAGCUGGGUCUCCAGUCCAUACACAGUGCCUGCU
rnacentral:lncRNA from 1 species